AAGCAGGAGGAGCUGAGGGCUGUGGCAGGAAGGGGGAACCGCAGCAAAACCAAACCACACCAGCGAGUCGCCAUCCUCACCAGCAGCCGUUUGCUGUUGCAGCCCGGUCCCUGGGCCCCCAGACGCUUCCAUGGCCCUGCCAAUUUCCAUGGGAACGAGGAGGACGGGAGAUGGGCACCCCACGACUGUCCCCCACCACCCCCUUGGGAUGACAGAGAAGAUGGCCGAGGACCUGAGGACUGGUUCAAAGAAGACUGGGACCCGCCCAGUCCCUGGUACUGCGGACCCGUCCCUGACUCUGCCGACUUCCCUUGGGAUGAGGAGGACAGGAGAUGGGCAUCCCAUGACCGUCCACCGCCGCCCCCUUGGGACGACAGAGAAGACCACCGAGGACCUGAGGGCUGCUUCGAAGAGGACUGGCACCCGGUGAGGGGGUGAUGGGCCUGGGGGGGUGGCAGUGGCCAUGGGACUGAGGACAGGGAGUGGGUGAAAUCAAGUGGUGUUCCCCAGGGCUCAGUGUUGAUACCAUUUCUGUUUAACAUCUUCAUUGAUGAUCUUGAUAAGGACACAGGGUGUAUCACCAGUAAGUUCGCAGAUGACACCAAGUUAAGCCGGAGUGUUGAUCUGCGUGAGGACAGGGAGGCUCUACAGAGAGACUUGGACAGGUUGGAUGGAUGGGCCAACGUUAAUGGGAUGAGCUUCAGCAAGGCUGAGUGCCAGGUCCUGCACUUGGGCCACACCAACCCCCUGCAUCGGUACAGGCUUGGGGAGGGGUGGCUGGAGCUGCCUGGCGGAAAAGGGCUUGGGGGUUCUCAUUGACAAGCGGCUGAGUAUGAGCCGGCCGGGUGCCCAGGUGGCCAAGAAAGCCAAUGGCAUCCUGGCUUGGAUUAGAAAUAGUGUGACCAGCAGAAGUAGGAGGUGAUCGUCCCCCUGUACUCAGCACUGGGGGGGCCACACCUGGAGUGUUGUGUCCGGUUUUGGGCACCUCAAUACAGGAGAGAUCUCGAUCCCUUCCCCGCAGGAACAGCCCGGCCCCGACCGCUUUGCCUGGCCUGAAUUCCCCGGGGAGGAGGAGCACCCACGCUGCCCCCCCGGCAGCCUGCCAGGGUGGGUGCCCGUGCCAAGGACGGGGGGACCAUGGAGCUGUGGGGUGGCCAGCA
rnacentral:lncRNA from 1 species